AUGAGAAAAAAGUGUGUUGCGCUCCUGAUGCAAUUUGACAGCUCACAAGAGCAGUACACAACACCAGCAUCAUGUUUGAGGAAAGUUCUUUCUUGUUGCAGAUUAUGGAUGAGCAUCUGCCAUGCGGUUUCAGUGCGGAUGAGGUUUCGGAGUGGUCCACUAAUUUUUUGCUUGCAGUGUAGUGUGGUGAAAUUAUACUCGUCCUCCCCCUUCAUCCUCACCACUUUAUACUUAGUCAUGUAG
rnacentral:rRNA from 1 species